GGAAUUGUUUGCCAUUUUUGCAAACGAUUCCCUUAUCGAUUCCAGUCGCCCCGAAUGACGUCACUGCGUUGCGGAGCGUCAUUUACCUGGCAGGAAACAUGGCGGCUCAAACGCUCAAAAGUUUGGUCAUACUUUACGAGAACGGAUGACAACAGGGCAACUUGCAAUACUUGCAAAGUAGAUAUUUCAUUUAAGGGAGGAAACACUACGAAUAUACAAAAGCAUUUGCUCACAAAACACGCGAUGACCUUAAAUGAAUGUCGUGUUUUUAAUUCCGCUCCGGACUCGUGAAUCUCAACCCAGCAGCAGCGGUAACGUCUGCACGUCCUCUCCCGUUAAUGCGGCAGGUGACCAUGAUGAGACAGACAGAGUCUGGCUGGCUCAGAUGCUGGCAGUUCUCGCUGCAGUCUACCGGUAGCGUCUCCUUUCAGGCCAGGAUAGACGAAUGUCACCGAACAGUGACUAAGUUUGUGGUCAAAGGCUUGCACCCAUUUGCCACAGCAGAUGCCCCCGAUUUUCAGUAAGUGAAUGUGUUUAAUUGUAGGCAGGGACAUUACUGGAUAUUCUUGUGUAAUUGCUACAGAAUAAUUUAUGUUAUACUUUGUUAUUGCUACAGAAGAAUAUUUAUUUUAUUAUUUUACAUUUACAAUUUUUUCCCCGGGGA